CUUAUAUCAUCAAUGGUCUCAAAAAUGGCAUCCUCCCCCAUGAAGAUUUCCCUUAUGUUGAAGCUGCUUUUCUUUGCUACUUUGCUUUUCAUUGCCUAUACUACUAUUUCUGCAACAAACAACAUUCCUUUGCUCCACAAACCUCCUAUUCGUAAAAUGGCUGUGGGGUACAGAAAAGGUGAGAAGGCUGUGGUUGUACCAAAAGUAUAUAAACCAACUUCUGCUGAUUUUCCAUGGGGUGGAGGCUAUGUUCGUCGUCCUCCAAUUUUAAACAACCCAUGAUAUAUGAAGCUUUACAAUUGUUUGGAUGAUCAUCAGCUAUGUUUGUCUUUUGUGGAGCGUCAAUCUCUAAGUCUUCUUUACCCUGCAAUAAAAAGUACUUUAAUAAUUUCAUAUAUUUCUUAAUCUUA